UACGUAGGGGGCUAGCGUUGUCCGGAUUUAUUGGGCGUAAAGAGCGUGUAGGCGGCCAGAUAGGUCUGCUGUGAAAACUCGAGGCUCAACCUCGAGAUGUCGGCGGAAACCAUUUGGCUAGAGUCCGGAAGAGGCGAGUGGAAUUCCUGGUGUAGCGGUGAAAUGCGCAGAUAUCAGGAGGAACACCAAUGGCGAAGGCAGCUCGCUGGGACGGUACUGACACUGAGAAGCGAAAGCAUGGGGAGCGAACAGG
rnacentral:rRNA from 1 species